AUACGUAGGGAGCGAGCGUUGUCCGGAAUUACUGGGUGUAAAGGGAGCGUAGGCGGGAGUGCAAGUCAGAUGUGAAAUACAUGGGCUCAAACCAUGGGCUGCAUUUGAUACUGCAUUUCUUGAGUGAAGUAGAGGUAAGCGGAAUUCCUGGUGUAGCGGUUAAAUGCGUAGAUAUCAGGAGGAACACCGGUGGCGAAGGCGGCUUACUGGGCUUUUACUGACGCUGAGGCUCGAAAGCGUGGGGAGCAAACAGGAUUAGAUACCCUGGUAGUCCACGCUGUAAACGAUGAUUACUAGGUGUGGGGGGACUGACCCCUUCCGUGCCGCAGUUAACACAAUAAGUAAUCCACCUGGGGAGUACGGCCGCAAGGUUGAAACUCAAAUGAAUUGGCGG
rnacentral:rRNA from 1 species